rnacentral:SRP_RNA from 1 species
UUCCCCACCAUCAGGAAUCAUGCGAAAAAACACUGCCCAACCCCGCCAGGUCCGGAAGGAAGCAACGGUAAGUAGCUGUUUUUUGCGCCGUGACCAUCCUGGUGGCGGGGUUUUUU